rnacentral:misc_RNA from 1 species
GAUGAAGAACGUAGCGAAAUGCGAUAAGUAAUGUGAAUUGCAGAGUUCAGUGAAUCAUCGAAUCUUUGAACGCACAUUGCGCCCGCCAGUAUUCUGGCGAGCAUGCCUGUUCGAGCGUCAUUUCAACCAUCAAGCCCCAGGCUUGUGUUGGAGCCCUGCGGCUGCCGCAGCCUCCCAAAACCAGUGGCGGGCUCGCUAUCACACCGAGUGCAGUAGUUUACUCUUCGCUCAGGGCGUGUGGCGGGUGCUAGUCGUGAAACCCCCAACUUCUCAAGGUUGACCUCGGAUCAGGUAGGAAUACCCGCUGAACUUAAGCAUAUCAAUAAGCGGAGGA